AAUCAAUGCCCAGGCAGCUGACUUUAUUUUCGGAGAAACACUACUCCUUGUAGUAAAAAGUAACAAUGAAUAGCGAUAUCAUCUAGGAAGGAUCGCUACCCUAACGCGAAGGAAAGGCCUUGCGCGGCUGCUCUACGAAGUGUUGAAGAAAGACUCAUCAAAUUUAGUUGGUGGACGAACAACUCGCUGGCGCCGGAAAACUUGGCCCCCAACGAUGGUGUUUGGUGAAUCAUCAAGCAUAAUGUCUUGUAGCAGUGUUCACCGAGGAAGGAGAACGCUCUAGACUAGUCGCUGCUGUUGUCCGUUUCAUCCACGUUGGGCGUUAGCUGCACCGCGCCUAUUGUGUUUUAGUAUUCCAUGGACACACAUUAGCAUUCAGAGCGAUUGUGGAGCCACACUUUACUUCACACAGCGUUGUAUUGUCCACGAGCGCAAACUUAAUUAUCAGCAGUAACUGUUACUCUUCAUCCUACAUGUAGACUUGGAGUAUACACGGCCUUGUCACGACAGCGACAGCUCUACAGAUCAUGCAGAGUGUUCAAGUGAGAAACAUUAAUUUCUAUUGUUGGUGGACGAAUAAAUGGCUGGUUCCGAAAAAACGCGGCCUGCACCGAUGGUGUUUGGUGGAUCAUCAAACAGGGUGACCAGCAGUGUUCACCGAGGAAGGAGAAUGCACUCGCCACCACUCCGAUUCAUCCAAGUGGGCGUUAGCUGCGCCGCGCCUAUUGUGUUUUAGUAUUCCAUGGACGCACACUAGCGUUCUCAGCGAUUGUGGAGCCACAACAUAUCUUCAUGCGGCGUUGCACUGUCCAAGAGCAGAAACGUCAGCAGUGACCCAUCAUCAUACAUGUAGAUUUGGAGUAUACACACCAUGCGCCAAUGGGCCUCGGCACAACAGCGGCAGCUCUACGGAGUGUUCAAGUGAGAAACAUUUGUUUCGACUUUUGGUGGACGAACAAAUCGUCGGUGCCGAAAAACGUGGCCUGCGCCGAUGGUGCUUGAAACAUCAAGCAUGGUAUGUGGUGACUGUCAGUGUUGAUCGAGGAAGGAGAACACUCAGGCCGUCGACCGUUCAUCCAUUUCGUUAGCUGCACCAAGCCUAUUGUGUCCUUGUAUUCCAUGGGCACACAAUCAUGAAGCAUGGCGUCUGAGCUGUGUUCACAGAGCGGGGAGAUGCUCUUGCUGCUAUCUUAUCUGUCCUGUGUAUUCCCAAGUGCCGAAGGCUCACAACGAUGGUGUUGGACAAGUCAGAUAAAAUAGAGUCAACAUCGUCACACGGUGCUGUGACCAAGAUACGGAUCAUGCCGAACGCUGAUUCAACUGGACGAAUCGCGAGGCUUUUCAGAUGCAGGGACACAAUGGAAACUGAAUGACUUCAGAACAGCACUGCUUGGCGCGUCUAUACAGCAUCAUUUGGCACAGCAAGAUGACAAAACAGCUAGCAGUGGCUAUUGGUGAGAAAAUGUUCUGCUGUGCCAUUGGAGUGUGCACGAUACACGGAACCCUGCUCUUUUGUUGGCACCGCCUAUGUAACUUACUGCAUAGGGUGCAAGGUGACCGUUGUCGGUUUACAUGUACUCCAGUUAUUACACCGUGCAUGCACUGAGUCUGUGCUGCACUGUGCAUCCAUAGGUGUUCGUUUGCGGUAGCGCAAGGUGACACGCAAGGUUGAUGGAUUGUUUUGUCCGCUGCUAUUCGAAGCUCUCGGAGUCGGAAGCGUUACCUCUGUUUCCCCUGUUCCUCCCUGCGCGGAGUCUGUAGUUCUGGCUUGCAGUUGCUGUUACAUGCAUGUUGGCAGUUGCAUGUGUUUUGGUUUUCAGUUGUCUUUAUCAAGUUGUUUUGUGUGGACGACAGUUCAAUAUUCUAGCAGUUGUUGCACUUCCUACUUCUGAAGUACAUUCCGUAGUUAUCUGCGGUUGGUGUUCGAGAAAGCAAACUGUGUUCUUCUCCAGAGUGGAGUAAACCAUUCGCUUGUGUCUGAGGAAAACCCUGUGUGUUGACGAAGAGGUUGACUUGGCUGUAGAGUGAAAGUACCACAUGGUCACAUGGUCCACAAAAUCUUAGAACUAACUUAGGGUCUUCUGGCGUAUGGUAUAGUUAUAUGAGCAGCAUGAGAGUGAAGUAAAAGACUAUUAGCUCAAACAUUCAGGCUUUCAAGAGUAGGUGUUUCAUCACGGAAUAGGUUCUGCAGUUCACUUACACACUGCAACAAUGGACCAGCAGUGUCCAGCAUACAAUAGAGUCAUGUGAAUAUGUACCGUAUGCAUACUCACAGCUGCAAGGCCAGCGCCCCGUGGCUGCUUGACUUCUCAAUCGAUAUAAAUAUUCACAACAGUAAGACUCUGUGAUCAAUCAGAGCUGUGCUUCGAAGUAGUCACAAAUGCCCCAUGUUCAGUCACAAAACAAAACUUGGCAACCAGUCACAGCUUCCACGGUGCCCCAAGACCAGUCACCAGAAAUGAUCGUAGUAAAUCUGCAGGGAGUUUCAUAAUCUGUUCAUUGCAGAGUCCACUAUGCUAUGAUUCAAGAGGGGGGUAGCGUUCCUGCGGAUGCGGAAAACUUGGCUGGAACCCGAGUGUCACGUGAACCCUGAUUUUUAAGACUUAUUAUUUGUUUUACGAUGAGCCUAUUAUACGCGAUACAGGCUCAGAACACACUUUUCGUCUAGUUGGAAUAUCAGGGAUAUAGGGCGGAGCAGCCCAUAUCCCCAAUUAUGACACGCGAGUAAUAGUGAAAUACGAUUGGCGUAUUGUGCUGGACUGACUGCGGUAAUGUAAAGCUAAAAUAAAGCAGUCAGUUUGCCCUUAG